UUAAGCGACUAAGCGUACACGGUGGAUGCCCUGGCAGUCAGAGGCGAUGAAGGACGUGCUAAUCUGCGAAAAGCGUCGGCGAGGUGAUAUGAACCUUUGACCCGGCGAUGUCCGAAUGGGGAAACCCAGUGUGAUUCGUCACACUAUCGUUAACUGAAUACAUAGGUUAACGAGGCGAACCGGGGGAACUGAAACAUCUAAGUACCCCGAGGAAAAGAAAUCAACCGAGAUUCCCCCAGUAGCGGCGAGCGAACGGGGAGCAGCCCAGAGUCUGAAUCAGCUUGUGUGUUAGUGGAAGCGUCUGGAAAGUCGCACGGUACAGGGUGACAGUCCCGUACACGAAAAUGCACAGGUUGUGAACUCGAAGAGUAGGGCGGGACACGUGGUAUCCUGUCUGAAUAUGGGGGGACCAUCCUCCAAGGCUAAAUACUCCUGACUGACCGAUAGUGAACCAGUACCGUGAGGGAAAGGCGAAAAGAACCCCGGCGAGGGGAGUGAAAAAGAACCUGAAACCGUGUACGUACAAGCAGUGGGAGCACCUUCGUGGUGUGACUGCGUACCUUUUGUAUAAUGGGUCAGCGACUUAUAUUCUGUAGCAAGGUUAACCGUAUAGGGGAGCCGAAGGGAAACCGAGUCUUAACUGGGCGUUAAGUUGCAGGGUAUAGACCCGAAACCCGGUGAUCUAGCCAUGGGCAGGUUGAAGGUUGGGUAACACUAACUGGAGGACCGAACCGACUAAUGUUGAAAAAUUAGCGGAUGACUUGUGGCUGGGGGUGAAAGGCCAAUCAAACCGGGAGAUAGCUGGUUCUCCCCGAAAGCUAUUUAGGUAGCGCCUCGUGAACUCAUCUUCGGGGGUAGAGCACUGUUUCGGCUAGGGGGCCAUCCCGGCUUACCAACCCGAUGCAAACUACGAAUACCGAAGAAUGUUAUCACGGGAGACACACGGCGGGUGCUAACGUCCGUCGUGAAGAGGGAAACAACCCAGACCGCCAGCUAAGGUCCCAAAGUCAUGGUUAAGUGGGAAACGAUGUGGGAAGGCACAGACAGCCAGGAUGUUGGCUUAGAAGCAGCCAUCAUUUAAAGAAAGCGUAAUAGCUCACUGGUCGAGUCGGCCUGCGCGGAAGAUGUAACGGGGCUAAACCAUGCACCGAAGCUGCGGCAGCGACGCUUAUGCGUUGUUGGGUAGGGGAGCGUUCUGUAAGCCGUUGAAGGUGGCCUGUGAGGGUUGCUGGAGGUAUCAGAAGUGCGAAUGCUGACAUAAGUAACGAUAAAGCGGGUGAAAAGCCCGCUCGCCGGAAGACCAAGGGUUCCUGUCCAACGUUAAUCGGGGCAGGGUGAGUCGACCCCUAAGGCGAGGCCGAAAGGCGUAGUCGAUGGGAAACAGGUUAAUAUUCCUGUACUUGGUGUUACUGCGAAGGGGGGACGGAGAAGGCUAUGUUAGCCGGGCGACGGUUGUCCCGGUUUAAGCAUGUAGGCGGAACGAUUAGGUAAAUCCGGUCGUUUUUUAACGCUGAGGUGUGAUGACGAGGCACUACGGUGCUGAAGUAACAAAUGCCCUGCUUCCAGGAAAAGCCUCUAAGCAUCAGGUAACAUCAAAUCGUACCCCAAACCGACACAGGUGGUCAGGUAGAGAAUACCAAGGCGCUUGAGAGAACUCGGGUGAAGGAACUAGGCAAAAUGGUGCCGUAACUUCGGGAGAAGGCACGCUGAUAUGUAGGUGAAGCCCCUGCGGGUGGAGCUGAAAUCAGUCGAAGAUACCAGCUGGCUGCAACUGUUUAUUAAAAACACAGCACUGUGCAAACACGAAAGUGGACGUAUACGGUGUGACGCCUGCCCGGUGCCGGAAGGUUAAUUGAUGGGGUUAGCGGCAACGCGAAGCUCUUGAUCGAAGCCCCGGUAAACGGCGGCCGUAACUAUAACGGUCCUAAGGUAGCGAAAUUCCUUGUCGGGUAAGUUCCGACCUGCACGAAUGGCGU
rnacentral:rRNA from 1 species